AGACAGAGCUUUCUGGAUGGGGUCGCUGGGCCCGUGCAGUCCAGGAUGCCAGCCCACGGAACGGUGCCACCCACAUCCAGGGUGGUUCCUCCGUCUUUGGUUGAACCUUUCUGGAAAUACCAGAUUGCCAACACCCUCAGAGACGUAUCUCCGUCCGAGGUGAUCCCAAAUCCAGUUCCUAGGUUUGAGCUCAGGUCCUGUGCUUGUACAAGAAUCACCUUACUGACUGAAGUGUUACUCUGCCCAGUUACUGAGUUCUUACAAGAAAAACUAGGGCACUGAACAAGAACUGGACUCUGAAACCUGGAAUGGGCACAUCUGAAUGGGCUGAGGUCGCUGUCCUCUGCAGGGUGCUGCAGCACCCGGUCCAGGUCCCUGAGUGCCCUGUCAUACUCCCGCAGCUGGGUCAAGCAGGCCACCCGGAGACGCAGAUGCGGUCUGUGAAGGGGACACAGGGAAAGAGCUCAGAGUUAAGUCUCUGGACAUAGUCAGCCUCUGCUGGUGUCUGGUCCCCUCCCUGUGCAGAAGACACCCACACUCUGGAGGCCCUGUCAUGGGUAGGGGUAAGGGGCUGGUUUCCUCCUGUGACUGAGGGCUGCGGCUGGCCCAGCAUGUCCACCUCCCCAUAGUCCCUGAAGGCA
ensembl:antisense Gm13112 predicted gene 13112